UACGUAGGGGGCAAGCGUUGUCCGGAUUCAUUGGGCGUAAAGAGCGUGUAGGCGGCCAGGUAGGUCGGUUGUGAAAACUCGAGGCUCAACCUUCAGAGGUCGACCGAAACCAUCUGGCUAGAGUCCGGGAGAGGAGAGUGGAAUUCCUGGUGUAGCGGUGAAAUGCGCAGAUAUCAGGAAGAACACCCGUGGCGAAAGCGGCUCUCUGGAACGGUACUGACGCUGAGACGCGAAAGCGUGGGGAGCGAACAGG
rnacentral:rRNA from 1 species